UCUGGAUCAAUACAGACUUGAGGUAGUGGAUUGGUUUGAGAUUUAACAUGAGGAAUUUGAAGGCAUAAUUCUGACAGCUUACUUUGACACUUCAGAAACCCACUUUGAGAGUGUGGGGACAUUCUCCCUAGUGCAAAAAAUUUUGGAAAAGAGAAAAUAGGCAGAAGUCAAACUACCCAAUAUGAAAUAUUAGCAGCUCAUAUCAUGUUUGGGACAUGUAAGACUGGAGGGGAGUGCAAGGAUGCUGGUAAUAAAGAUGCUUGAAGAACUGCAGUCCUUACCACUCCAUCUGCAGCGGAGGCCUGAACUAGCGCAUCAUGUUUUGUGAACAGGUGAACGGUACUGCAGGUAGAAUGCCAGAGCACAUCUGACACACAGGGAAUGAAAUCUUUUCUCUUAAAUGGAAACACAUGCUUUUGGGAAGAAAACAGGACUAUAAGAAAGAAGCUAGAGAAACCAGUGGACACAGGAUUCCAACUCACAUCAUUUGCAGUCAGAAGGAACUGGAGAGGCAUCAGCCUGCACUGCCUCUUACACCCUCUAUCUGGAGGACAAGGAGAGCAACUGCACAUGUGCGGGCCAAUGGACACUGCUUGUUAAGACUCGGGCUCAUGGGUACCCAUGUGUGGAAUAUACAUAGGGAGCAGCCCUCAAAGAAGAGGAAAAAUUAUUGGCUUAAUUGUUUCUUUACAAAAAAUGUUGCUUUUUCUUGGAUUUGCACCCUACCUUGAAAGCAGGCCUGCUGGUUUAUUUUGCUUUGUUUUAUCUGUAUGAGUGUAGUACAAUACCAAUUCAAUGUAAAGUCUUAUCCAGGCUAACAUAAAUCACAAGCCCCUAUGGACUGCCCUAAACUUUGUAUCCCCCAUCAAUACCAGGAAGCCACAUAAAUGUUAUUCUUGUUAUACUGACAUGACAUACACUUCCAACAGUGAUUUCAAUUAUUUAGUGCUGUAUAUAUUACUACUGUACUUUCCAUUGUGAAUGCUAGACAUUGCAUCUAAGGGUCCAAUCUUGCAAACACUUACACGUAUGAGUAACAUUUCUCAUGUGAAUAGUCCCAAAGAGACACACUCAUGUGUAAAUAUCUGUGGGAUCGAUCACUAUUCAUGGAUCACACCUUCCUAUUCCUUGUGGCUACUCUUCUGUAUACACCUUUGUGAAUUGCUACAUCUUUUGACAAGGACAUUAGGCUUGAUCCUUCAAGGACUUCACUGGUAGUUUUGUCUGUGUGAGUAUGCCAGGAUUGUACAUUUUAGUGAUGGGGACUCCACAGACUGUGUUCAUGCUAUCCUAGAGUGUAAAGAAAUCAGCUGCUAAACAAUAUACAAUUUGUCUAUCUCCUCCAGCAGCAGUUUCCUUUAACAUAACGUUGUUUCCUGAUUACAAGAUGAGUUUUAAUGUGUGAAAUAACACAGAUUUGCUAGGGACAUUUUGGACAAAGUUCAAAAUGCUGUUAGUGAUAAGCCCCUCCAUGCAGAUCCCCUUUGUCAUGCUUGAAGGGAAGGGGAGUCAGCCAUCUCCAUGGCACCAUCCCCAACUGCAAAGAGAUCUCCCUAGUCAAAUGGAUUUCUGCCUGGGUAGGGAUUUUGAGAAUUUGGUACUAUAAUAACAACCUUUCUUGGGGUAUUUUGAUAGUUCCGUUUCUACCCAAAUUAGACAGUGUCCAGGUGCAGACACCUUUUAAAUAAAAAUUAAACAACCUUUU